rnacentral:rRNA from 1 species
AACCAGGAGGUUGGCUUAGAAGCAGCCACCCUUUAAAGAGUGCGUAACAGCUCACUGGUCGAGUGAAGCGGCGCCGAAAAUGAUCGGGUCUAAGUCUUCCACCGAAGCCAUGGAGUCGCGACGCAAGUCGCGAUUGGUAGAGGAGCUUCGUGCAGGCGGUGAAGCAUGAACGUAAGUCCGUGUGGAGCGUGCACGAGUGCGAAUGCCGGCACAAGUAGCGUAAAGGUCGAUGAGAAAUCGGCCCGCCGUAAAUCUUAGGUUUCCUGGGCUACGUUAAUCGUCCCAGGGUCAGUCGGGCCUAAGCCGAGGCCGAAGGGCGUAGGCGAUGGACAACUGGUUCACAUUCCAGUACCACCUCGCGUUCGUUAUACCGAUGGGGGGACGAAGGAGGGUAGGCCAACCGGACGAUCGGAUGUGUCCGGCCAAGGUUGUAGGGAGCCCUGAUUGGAAAAUCCGUUGGGGCGCUAAUCCUGAGAGCUGAUGGGGAGCUUCCAGCAAUGGAGGCGUAGUGGCUGAUCCCAAGCUUCCGAGAAAAUCCUCUAGGAAGAAUGCAGGUGCCCGUACCGCAAACCGACGCUGGUAGAUGGGAAGAGGAUUCCAAGGCGAUCGAGAGAACUCUGUCUAAGGAACUCGGCAAAAUAACCCCGUAACUUCGGGAGAAGGGGUGCCUUUGGCUGUGUAGGAGUUUACCUCCGAAGCAGUUGAGGGUUGCAAUUAAGAGGCCCAACCGACUGUUUACUAAAAACACAGGUCUCUGCGAACCCGUAAGGGGACGUAUAGGGGCUGACGCCUGCCCGGUGCCGGAAGGUUAAGGGGAGAGCUGCAAGGCUUGAACUGAAGCCCCGGUAAACGGCGGCCGUAACUAUAACGGUCCUAAGGUAGGAAAAAAGAGCUGCCUCCCGCGCCGGCAACGACGUGGUAAUACAUUCGGCCAUAUGCUGGAAAACCUGAUGUAUCUGGUGGUACCGCAAACGUGCGGUGACAAUCCAUCCAGUGCAGAAAAUCAGCAGGAAAGACUGAUCAAAUUGUUGAUCAGAAUCCUCAGAGACCAUGCGCCGAACAUCCCGAUCGCGGGAUGAAGAUAUGGUCCCAUCUGCAUGGCGACAUGCAGGAACGGUGAUUAAGGAAUAACCGUUCGCUUGUGGUCAGCGAUUACAAGCGCGAUUGCAAGCAAGACGAUCAGCGAAAUUCCUUGUCGGGCAAGUUCCGACCCGCACGAAUGGCGUAACGAGUUGGGCGCUGUCUCGGACAGAGACUCGGCGAAACUGCAAUACCUGUGAAGAUACAGGUUACCCGCGGCAGGACGGAAAGACCCCGUGGAGCUUUACUACACCUUGGCAUUGGACUGGGGUUUAGCGUGUAGAGGAUAGCUGGGAGACUUUGAAGCUCGGGCGUCAGCCCGGGUGGAGUCAACAGUGGAAUACCAGCCUCGUUGAACUUUAGCUCUAACGGUGCCCCUGAUCGGGGUUCCGGACAGUGCCUGGCGGGUAGUUUGACUGGGGCGGUCGCCUCCCAAAAAGUAACGGAGGCGCCCAAAGGUUCCCUCAGCCUGGGCGGAAAUCAGGCGCAGAGUGCAAUGGCACAAGGGAGCUUGACUGUGAGACAUACUGGUCGAGCAGGGACGAAAGUCGGGCAUAGUGAUCCGACGGCCCGGUGUGGAAUGGCCGUCGCUCAACGGAUAAAAGUUACCCCGGGGAUAACAGGCUUAUCGGGCCCAAGAGUUCACAUCGACGGCCCGGUUUGGCACCUCAAAUUGGGGUGUGACGGCAGAAAUGCCGUUUUGGCAUCGGCUUAUAACGGUGAACCCCUAACCACGCGGACGCGUGGUGGGCAACACCGUGGGAAGUCGUUUCGCGUGAGAAAUUGACCCCGUAACGACUGUGGCCUUUUGGCUACGGUGGCAGUCCGUGCAAUCCGCAAAUUUAUGGCUGCCACAACACGCCGACCCCUCGCCGGAUACGGCAGGGUGAAGAGAUAGUCUGCGCUGCUGGUAACAGCAGAGAACGUGCGAUGUCGGCUCGUCGCAUCCUGGGGCUGGAGUCGGUCCCAAGGGUUGGGCUGUUCGCCCAUUAAAGCGGUACGCGAGCUGGGUUUAGAACGUCGUGAGACAGUUCGGUCCCUAUCCGCCGUGGGCGCAGGAGACUUGAGGAGGGUUGACCCUAGUACGAGAGGACCGGGUUGAACGGCCCGCUAGUGUACCGGUUGUCACGCCAGUGGCAGCGCCGGGUAGCCAUGGCCGGUUCGGAUAAGCGCUGAAAGCAUCUAAGUGCGAAGCCGACUCCAAGAUAAGGUCUCCCACCGGGUUAACCGGGUAAGGGCCCUGGUAGACAACCAGGUUGAUAGGCCGGAGGUGUAAGAGAAGCAAUUCUUUGAGCUGACCGGUACUAAUAGCCCGAGGGCUUGUUCACCUAUAACUCACUCU